AAAAACUCAAGAGUACUAAGCAACAUGACAAUUCAGUGUGCCAAAUUCCUAGAGACAAAUACAAAGCUCCAAAUGUCAAGGGAAUUAUCUUUGUACCCAAGGAUUUCAGGCGCAUGUAAAAUUUUAUGUAUUUGAAUGAUAAUAGCAAGUUAGCAAUCUUAAGUUUGUCACAAACUUUGUAAUAACUCCAAUAACUUUUAUUUAAAAGUUACUAUUUCUCAAUGUUGAGAUUGUUUGUCUGUGUACAAUAACUUUGUAAUAACU
rnacentral:lncRNA from 1 species